rnacentral:rRNA from 1 species
GACGAACGCUGGCGGCGUGCUUAACACAUGCAAGUCGAACGAAGUGGCGAACGGGUGAGUAACGCGUAAUCAACCUGCCCUUCAGAGGGGGACAACAGUUGGAAACGACUGCUAAUACCGCAUACUGAAGGAGGGGAUUGCGUCUGAUUAGCUAGUUGGGGGGGUAAUGGCCCACCAAGGCGAUGAUCCGUAACCUGGCUUGGAGGGUGAACCGCCACAUUGGGACUGGGGCACGGCCCAGACGCCUACGGGAGGGCGCAGUGGGGAAACUUCCGAAAUGGACGAAAGUCUGACGGAGCAACGCCGGGGGAGUGGUGACGGCCUUCGGGUUGUAAAGCUCUGUUAAUCGGGACGCGGUACCGGAAGAGAAAGCCACGGCUAACUACGUGCCAGCAGCCGCGGUAAUUC